rnacentral:rRNA from 1 species
UAGNGUAGCGGUGAAAUGCGUAGAAAUUAGGAAGAACACCAGUGGCGAAGGCGACUUUCUGGACGAAAACUGACGCUGAGGCGCGAAAGCCAGGGGAGCGAACGGGAUUAGAUACCCCGGUAGUCCUGGCCGUAAACGAUGGGUACUAGGUGUAGGAGGUAUCGACCCNUUCUGUGCCGGAGUUAACGCAAUAAGUACCCCGCCUGGGGAGUACGACCGCAAGGUUGAAACUCAAAGGAAUUGACGGGGGCCCGCACAAGCGGUGGAGUAUGUGGUUUAAUUCGACGCAACGCGAAGAACCUUACCAGGUCUUGACAUUGAUGGACAGAACCAGAGAUGGUUCCUCUUNUUCGGAAGCCAGAAAACAGGUGGUGCACGGUUGUCGUCAGCUCGUGUCGUGAGAUGUUGGGUUAAGUCNCGCAACGAGCGCAACCCCUAUCUUAUGUUGCCAGCACUUUGGGUGGGGACUCAUGAGAGACUGCCGCAGACAAUGCGGAGGAAGGCGGGGAUGACGUCAAAUCAUCAUGCCCCUUAUGACCUGGGCUACACACGUACUACAAUGGGAGUUAAUAGACGGAAGCGAGAUCGCGAGAUGGAGCAAACCCGAGAAACACUCUCUCAGUUCGGAUCGUAGGCUGCAACUCGCNUACGUGAAGUCGGAAUCGCUAGUAAUCGCAGGUCAGCAUACUGCGGUGAAUACGUUCCCGGGCCU